rnacentral:rRNA from 1 species
CUUGAAACACGGACCAAGGAGUCUAACAUGUAAGCGACUCACUGGGUGUUAAAACCUAAGGGCGCAAUGAAAGUAAAGCAGGCUUGCCUGUUGAUACACGAUCCGUGAGCUUCGGCGAGCGGCGCAGUGUAGUCCCAUUCCGAUUGCUUGCAAUGGAGUGGAGACAGAGCUUACAUGUUGGGACCCGAAAGAUGGUGAACUAUGCCUGAGCAGGACGAAGCCAGAGGAAACUCUGGUGGAGGUCCGAAGCGAUUCUGACGUGCAAAUCGAUCGUCAGACUUGGGUAUAGGGGCGAAAGACUAAUCGAACCAUCUAGUAGCUGGUUCUCG